rnacentral:rRNA from 1 species
GUCGAGGGAGAAGCCCUUCGGGGCAGAAACCGGCGCACGGGUGCGUAACGCGUAUGCAACCUACCUUUUACAGGGGGAUAGCCCGAAGAAAUUUGGAUUAAUAUCCCAUAGUAUUAUUGGAUGGCAUCAUUUGAUAAUUAAAGCUACGGUGGUAAAAGAUGGGCAUGCGUCCUAUUAGCUAGUUGGAGUGGUAACGGCACCCCAAGGCUACGAUAGGUAGGGGUCCUGAGAGGGAGAUCCCCCACACUGGUACUGAGACAGGGACCAGACUCCUACGGGAGGCAGCAGUGAGGAAUAUUGGUCAAUGGUCGGAAGACUGAACCAGCCAUGCCGCGUGCAGGAAGAAUGCCUUAUGGGUUGUAAACUGCUUUUAUAUAGGGAGAAUAAGGUGUACGUGUACACUGAUGACGGUACUAUAUGAAUAAGCAUCGGCUAACUCCGUGCCAGCAGCCGCGGUAAUACGGAGGAUGCGAGCGUUAUUCGGAAUCAUUGGGUUUAAAGGGUCUGUAGGCGGGCUAUUAAGUCAGGGGUGAAAGCUUUCAGCUUAACUGAGAAAUUGCCUUUGAUACUGGUAGUCUUGAAUAUUUGUGAAGUUUUUGGAAUGUGUAGUGUAGCGGUGAAAUGCUUAGAUAUUACACAGAACACCGAUUGCGAAGGCAGGAGGCUAACAAAUGAUUGACGCUGAGAGACGAGAGCGUGGGGAGCGAACAGGAUUAGAUACCCUGGUAGUCCACGCUGUAAACGAUGGAUACUAGCUGUUUGCCUGAUAAGGGUGAGUGGCCAAGCGAAAGUGAUAAGUAUCCCACCUGGGGAGUACGCACGCAAGUGUGAAACUCAAAGGAAUUGACGGGGGCCCGCACAAGCGGUGGAGCAUGUGGUUUAAUUCGAUGA